rnacentral:rRNA from 1 species
CAGCCGCCGCGGUAAUACGAAGGGGGCUAGCGUUGUUCGGAUUUACUGGGCGUAAAGCGCACGUAGGCGGAUCGAUCAGUCAGGGGUGAAAUCCCAGAGCUCAACUCUGGAACUGCCUUUGAUACUGUCGAUCUGGAGUAUGGAAGAGGUGAGUGGAAUUCCGAGUGUAGAGGUGAAAUUUGUAGAUAUUCGGAGGAACACCAGUGGCGAAGGCGGCUCACUGGUCCAUUACUGACGCUGAGGUGCGAAAGCGUGGGGAGCAAACAGGAUUAGAUACCCCCGUAGUCCCUGUCUCUUAUAC